UACGUAGGGUGCGAGCGUUGUCCGGAAUUAUUGGGCGUAAAGGGCUCGUAGGCGGUUUGUCGCGUCGGGAGUGAAAUCCACUGGCUUAACUGGUGGCUUGCUUUCGAUACGGGCAGACUGGAGGUAUGCAGGGGAGAACGGAAUUCCGGGUGGAGCGGUGAAAUGCGUAGAGAUCCGGAGGAACACCAAUGGCGAAGGCAAUCCCCUGGGCCUGUACUGACGCUCAUGCACGAAAGCGUGGGGAGCAAACAGG
rnacentral:rRNA from 1 species